CGGCGUUCCACUCUCAUUUAUCGAACCCUAUGCUGAGCUUCUGAAGCCCUAGCGAGCGAUGGCUUCACGCAGACUUUUAUCUUCUCUUCUCCGAUCGUCGGCACGGCGGUUAUCUUCCAGAUCCCCGAUCUCAUCCCCCAACCCCAGGAUUCCAUUGUCUCACACUUCUCGCGCUUCCCCUUAUGGUUACCUCCUCAACCGUGUGGCUCAGUACGCCACCUCCGCCGCCGCGGCUUCACCACCGUCCCCACCGUCAUCCGCUAAGCCGGACGCGGGAAAGAGCGGUAAGAUCACCGACGAGUUCACUGGAGCCGGCGCGAUCGGCCAGGUUUGUCAGGUGAUUGGAGCCGUCGUCGAUGUCAGAUUCGAUGAAGGGUUACCUCCAAUUCUUACGGCGCUCGAGGUACUUGAUCACUCGAUCCGUUUGGUGCUGGAGGUGGCGCAGCAUUUGGGAGAGAAUAUGGUCAGGACUAUUGCUAUGGAUGGGACGGAAGGGCUCGUUCGAGGGCAGAAAGUGCUCAACACUGGUUCUCCCAUCACUGUUCCAGUUGGUAGAGCUACUCUUGGACGUAUUAUAAAUGUCAUUGGAGAGCCUAUUGAUGAGAAAGGCGACCUUAAGACCGACCAUUAUUUGCCUAUUCACAGAGAAGCCCCCGCCUUUGUUGAGCAAGCAACUGAGCAGCAAAUUCUCGUAACUGGUAUUAAGGUUGUUGACCUUCUUGCUCCAUAUCAAAGAGGAGGAAAGAUUGGGCUUUUUGGU
rnacentral:misc_RNA from 1 species